rnacentral:pre_miRNA from 1 species
AAUAAUUCAGCUUUUCAGUUUUUAGUUAUAAUGUUUGACUCUUCGUCUUAUUCAAAAAAUUUAUGAUUAAUAAUUUUAUUUUUAUUACAUGAUAAAACAUUAAUAGUAAUUUAUAUAUGACUAUUUUUUAAAAAAAUUUCUUGAAUUUUUUUAAAUAAGACGGAUGGUCAAACGUUCGACACAAAAACC